AGCAGCCGCGGUAAUUCCAGCUCCAAUAGCGUAUAUUAAAGUUGUUGCAGUUAAAAAGCUCGUAGUUGAAUUUCGGGGUCAGUAGGUUGGUCAUGCCUCCGGUAUGUACUGGUCUCACUGAUUCCUCCUUCCUGAUGAGCCGUAAUGCCAUUAAUUUGGUGUUGCGGGGAAUCUGGACUGUUACUUUGAAAAAAUUAGAGUAGUUUAAAGCAAGCUAACGCUUGAAUACAUUAGCAUGGAAUAAUGGAAUAGGACGUUCGAUCCUAUUUUGUUGGUUUCUAGGAUUGACGUAAUGAUUAAUAGGGAUAGUUGGGGGCAUUAGUAUUCAAUUGUCAGAGGUGAAAUUCUUGGAUUUAUUGAAGACUAACUACUGCGAAAGCAUUUGCCAAGGAUGUUUUCAUUAAUCAAGAACGAAAGUUAGGGGAUCGAAGACGAUCAGAUACCGUCGUAGUCUUAACCAUAAACUAUGCCGACUAGGGAUCGGAUGAUGUUAAUUUUUAAUGACUCAUUCGGCGCCUUA
rnacentral:rRNA from 1 species